GACGAACGCUGGCGGCGUGCUUAACACAUGCAAGUCGAACGGAAAGGCCAUGCUUUUGUGGGGUGCUCGAGUGGCGAACGGGUGAGUAACACGUGAGUAACCUGCCCUUGACUUUGGGAUAACUUCAGGAAACUGGGGCUAAUACCGGAUAGGAGCUACUGCUGCAUGGUGGGGGUUGGAAAGAUUCGGCGGUUGGGGAUGGACUAGCGGCUUAUCAGCUUGUUGGUGGGGUAGUGGCUGACCAAGGCUUUGACGGGUAGCCGGCCUGAGAGGGGGACCGGCCACAUUGGUACUGAGGUACGGCCCAGACUCCUACGGGAGGCAGCGGGGGAGAAUAUUGCACAAUGGGCGGAAGCCUGAUGCAGCAACGCCGGGUGCGGAAUGACGGCUUUCGGGUUGUAAACCACUUUCGCCUGUGACGAAGCGUGAGUGACGGUAAUGGGUAAAGAAGCACCGGCUAACUACGUG
rnacentral:rRNA from 1 species